UACAAAUAUAUACUUAGUCAUACAAUUCAAAAUGAUGAAAAAAAUUACAUAAACAUUACAUUAAAAUUACAAGUUCAUUCUUCGAGUCUUCAUACUUUGAAAUCGAUCAAUAAUCUUUUCGUCGGAAACUCGUAAGAAGACAUCCUUCUCAAUAAAAGUGACCAAACAAUCAUUCAUAAGUUGAUCACCCAUGCUAUUUCGCAACUUGUUUUUGACACAUGUCAUUGCAGAAAACACUCUUUCAACACUUGCCGUGGCAACGGGAAGAAUCAACAUCAACUUGAUAAGCAAAUGAAUUGCCGUUGCCAUAAUGUUUAUUCUUUUUCCCGGAUCAUGAGGAAGAAGUUCAACAUCGUACACCGAAUCUUCCUCUAAUGAUUUACAGCAAAUGUGUUAUGCUUAUGCAUAUGACGAAGUCACGAAGACACGAAGUCACGAAGGACGAAGGCUCAAGGGCGGCUGUUGAACCUCGUCACUGCUGCGAACUGCCGGCGAACGGUGGACGGCGUCACGGCGAGCCGGCUAGGCGACAGGCGAGGGCGAAUCGAAGAGAGAGAAAUUGAAAAUUGAAAAACUUAGGGUUUGGCUGGCAAAUGUCGCAACAGAGCACUGUAAUUGCAUUUUUUUUUUUAAA